AACGAACGCUGGCGGCGUGCCUAACACAUGCAAGUCGCGCGAGAAAAGGGGGCAACUCCUGAGUAAAGCGGCGAACGGGUGAGUAACACGUAGGUGAUCUACCCUCGAGUCCAGGAUAACCUACCGAAAGGUGGGCUAAUACCGGAUAUGACCACGGGAAUCUCGGUUCCUGCGGUGAAAGGUGGCCUCUGCUUGCAAGCUACCGCUCGGAGAUGAGCCUGCGCGCCAUUAGCUAGUUGGUGGGGUAACGGCCCACCAAGGCUAUGAUGGCUAGCUGGUCUGAGAGGAUGGCCAGCCACACUGGGACUGAAACACGGCCCAGACUCCUACGGGAGGCAGCAGUGGGGGAUAUUGCGCAAUGGGCGAAAGGCUGACGCAGCGACGCCGCGUGAAGGAUGAAGUCCGUUAGGAUGUAAACUUCUUUUGCAGGGGAUGAAUGUCCCGUUUCACGGGAUUGACCGUACCUUGCGAAUAAGGAUCGGCUAACUACGUGCCAGCCGCC
rnacentral:rRNA from 1 species